UGAUUUUAAGCUAUUGUGAAAUAAUAAUCACAUACUGUAAUGCAGACUGUAAAACUGGGUAGCACUUUUCGUCAUUCAGUAAUUACACAUUUGAGUGAUAAAAAUGACACAAAGUUUCCCAAGUAUCCUUUUUUGGGUUUCUACAUGCUCACACUACUUAGAUUCUGUAAAGCAACAGAUUAUCUUAACAUAUCAUAUGUGGACACACAUUUUUACAUAACCAUUAAUUACUGCAUUGAGGAAAUCAAUUAUUUGAUAAGCAAAACCUACAUUAAGACAAUCACAAAAUCAGCCAACUGUCACGUUAACAGAAUAGUUAAUAGAAUUUUUGUUAUUGCAUGAGAGUCAGAUGAGAAGAUCAUUGUAAUUCUAAUAUGUGUCUGGUUUACAUUUCUUUUCCUAUAAUAAAUGAUAUGGUUACAAUAGUCUUGACUAUGUGUUACAGGACAGUCCAUCCUUCUUUUAUAGCCUGUCAGUGUCCUUCUCUAUGCAAAGUGAACCUCCUCACAGUCUGCUAUAAAGACUUGAUAUCAUGCUGUCAGUUGCAGCAGAAGAAGAGAAGCUCCCAUCAGAUCACCUUCAAUAGCAACCAUGUUCUCUGUAGCUCUGCUGCUGCUGGCUGCUGGAUCCUGUGUGAACAGUAUUGAUCUCAUCCAGACAGACUCAAUGGUUGUGCAGCCUGGACAGUCUCUGACCAUCAGCUGUCAGGUCUCUGGUUAUUCUCUGACUGAUAACAGCUAUGCAACAGGUUGGAUCAGACAGAGUGAAGGAAAACCAAUGGACUGGAUUUGCAAUCGGUGGGGUGGAGGAGGCUUUGAUCAAAAUAAUGCUCUGAAGAACAAGUUCCUUUACCACACACUCACGUCUACUAGCUCGGUGACAUUAACAGGACAGAAUCUGCAGCCUGAGGACACAGCUGUGUAUUACUGUGUGCGUGUAAGCUACACAGUGAUGCAAACCACCAACAGACCUGCACAAAUACCCAGCAACCAGCAUGUGACUCAAACACGAAUUUACAUGAGAUUGCUAUGGAUAAAAGCGUCAAAUGUAAUGUAAUCACUAAUUCUUGAGUUCAACUUAACAUGUACCAUACAAACAGCCUUUAUUUAUGGU